UUACUUUGCUAUCUUAUGUCAUUACUGUCUUUAUCAUAGACAUAAUUCAUAAUGGAUACAAGUUUCAUGUUAUGAAAAACCACUGAAAUUUGAUAACAAAAUUGAAAAUGUUUCAUUAAAAUAAGGAUGCAUAGAAACUAAUAUUUUGUUGAGAAAAAGUGGAGCGUCUAUGGGAGAUAAUUUUGAUGGUCUGUGGAGCUUAUGGGUAAACCUUAUGUGGUGGUGCUAGGGCAGGGGAUGGGGAAGCAGAAGGGAACCAUGACACAGUUAAAAUUCUAGAAUUAGUGGUCAACAAAAUCAUGUACUAUUGGUUUUCUUUGAACAAGGAAUUGUGUUAAUUUUUGUUUGAACUCUUUUCUGUUGUCGGAUUUUGUUGCUGAAUCUGGUAAAGGUUCCUCUACAACUUCCCUUUUUAUCGCAUUCGAUGUUAUUCCAGUAUAUGUAAAAACAUUGUAGUUCGUAGCUUUAUUUUAUGGGGAUUUUAUUGGACAGGGAAAAGUAUGGCUGCACCAUCAAAACCAACACGAAUAGGCCUCGCAGGUCUGGCUGUUAUGGGCCAGAAUCUGGCCCUCAAUAUUGCAGAGAAAGGCUUCCCAAUUUCUGUUUAUAAUCGAACAACCUCCAAAGUUGAUGAGACUGUUGAAAGAGCCAAAAAGGAGGGAGAUCUUCCUUUAUAUGGUUUCCAUGAUCCUGAAUCUUUUGUUCAGUCAAUCCAAAAGCCUCGGGUGAUAAUUAUGCUUGUUAAGGCUGGGGCACCUGUUGACCAAACUAUAAAGACCCUCUCUGCCUACAUGGAGAAAGGUGAUUGUAUCAUUGAUGGUGGGAAUGAGUGGUAUGAGAACACUGAGAGGAGAGAAAAGGCCAUGGCUGAAUUAGGUUUGCUUUAUCUCGGAAUGGGAGUUUCAGGUGGUGAAGAGGGUGCACGGCAUGGACCCUCUUUGAUGCCUGGAGGUUCCUUUGAGGCAUACAAAUACAUUGAAGACAUUCUUCUUAAAGUGGCAGCUCAAGUUCCUGACAGUGGUCCCUGUGUGACUUUUGUUGGUAAAGGUGGCUCUGGUAAUUUUGUCAAGAUGGUGCAUAACGGAAUUGAAUAUGGUGAUAUGCAGCUGAUUGCAGAGGCUUAUGAUGUACUAAAAUCAGUUGGAAAGUUGUCUAAUGAGGAACUGCAAAAUGUUUUCUCAGAAUGGAACAAGGGUGAGCUUCUGAGCUUCUUGAUUGAGAUCACAGCAGAUAUAUUUGGAAUUAAAGAUGACAAGGGAGAUGGAUAUUUGGUUGACAAGGUUUUGGACAAAACUGGUAUGAAGGGUACAGGUAAAUGGACCGUACAGCAAGCUGCUGAUCUAUCAGUUGCAGCUCCUACAAUUGCAUCUUCUUUGGAUGCAAGAUUCCUCAGUGGUUUGAAGGAGGAGCGAGUUGAAGCUGCUAAAGUCUUCAAAGCAGGUGGCUUUGGAGAAAUUUUGACUGACCAAGUGGUGGACAAGAAGAAGUUGAUUGAUGAUGUGAGACAAGCUCUCUAUGCAUCCAAGAUUUGUAGUUAUGCACAGGGGAUGAAUCUGAUCCGUGCAAAGAGUAUUGAGAAAGGAUGGGACUUGAAAUUGGGAGAACUGGCUAGGAUUUGGAAGGGAGGCUGCAUUAUCCGAGCUGUGUUUUUAGACAGAAUCAAGAAAGCAUAUGAUAGGAACCCUGACCUGGCUAACCUUCUUGUCGAUCCAGAGUUUGCAAAGGAAAUCAUUGAGCGUCAGUCUGCCUGGCGGAGGGUUGUAUGUCUGGCAAUCAAUUCUGGUAUUAGCACUCCUGGCAUGUCUUCUAGUCUUGCUUAUUUUGACACUUACCGAAGGGAAAGGUUGCCAGCUAAUUUGGUCCAAGCACAGAGAGAUUAUUUUGGCGCUCACACAUAUGAAAGGGUUGAUACUGAAGGAUCUUUCCACACUGAAUGGUUUAAGAUUGCAAGAGAGUUGAAGAAUUAAUGUGUCACCUCAUGGUAUCUAGCUUAAUCAAAAUUCUCAAUAAGCAUAAUAAUUUCUGCUCUAGACUCUGAUGGGUAGAAGUGUCACAAAUCCUGUUUCGUCAAAAUGUAUCUCAAUCAAAUUUGUUGAAUCCAAUUUAUAUUGAGAUUUUACCUUGCUUUUGUAUGUUGUGUUUGUGCUUUGGUAGUUCUGCUGCUUUUACCUUGAGAUUUGAUUUGUAAUGCUGAAAUUGGUAACUCUUUUUCUAGUUGAGGAACUUUUUAGCCACUUUGUGUAAUAAUACUGUGAAAAUAUUUGAGCAAGAGAUUCUCGUUUGUGGUGUUUUUGUAUGCUCUUUACACUAUCUGGAGGGAGGUUCAGAUGGUUUUAUGAGGUUUGGUAACCAUUUCUCCUGCAUGUCAGUGUUUAAAGGAGCAUGACCGUUGGAACGUUU
rnacentral:misc_RNA from 1 species